GACGGGGAGCACUACAACGGGUGGAGCCUGCGGUUUAAUUGGACUCAACGCCGGAAAACUCACCGGGGCGACAGCAAUAUGUAGGUCAAGCUAAAGACUUUAUCAGAAUCGCUGAGAGGAGGUGCAUGGCCGUCGUCAGUUCGUACUGUGAAGCAUCCUGUUAAGUCAGGCAACGAGCGAGACCCGUGCCCACUGUUGCCAGCAUGUCCUUCGGGAUGAUGGGUACUCUGUGGGGACCGCCGAUGCUAAAUCGGAGGAAGGUGCGGGCUACGGUAGGUCAGUAUGCCCCGAAUCUCCCGGGCUACACGCGGGCUACAAUGACUGGGACAAUGGGCUCCUACCCCGAAAGGGGAUGGUAAUCUCAUAAACCCAGCCUUAGUUCGGAUCGAGGGCUGUAACCCGCCCUCGUGAAGCUGGAAUCCGUAGUAAUCGCGUUUCAACAUAGCGCGGUGAAUACGUCCCUGCUCCUU
rnacentral:rRNA from 1 species